GAAUUUUGGACAGUGGGGGCAACCCUGAUCCAGCCAUCCCGCGUGUGCGAUGAAGGCCUUCGGGCUGUAAAGCACUUUUGGCAGGGAAGAAAAAGCUCUGGCUAAUACCUGGAGCUGCUGACGGUCCCUGCAGAAUAAGCACCGGCUAACUCCGUGCCAGAAGCCGCGGUAAUCCGUAGGGUGCAAGCGUUAAUCGGAAUUACUGGGCGUAAAGCGUGCGCAGGCGGUUUGGCAAGAAGGAUGUGAAAUCCCAGGGCUUAACCUUGGAACUGCAUUCUUAACUGCCAGGCUAGAGUAUGUCAGAGGGGGGUAGAAUUCCACGUGUAGCAGUGGAAUGCGUAGAGAUGUGGAGGAAUACCGAUGGCGAAGGCAGCCCCCUGGGAUAAUACUGACGCUCAUGCACGAAAGCGUGGGGAGCAAACA
rnacentral:rRNA from 1 species